rnacentral:rRNA from 1 species
AACCAGCACCUCAAGUGGUCAGGAUGAUUAUUGGGCCUAAAGCAUCCGUAGCCGGCUCUGUAAGUUUUCGGUUAAAUCUGUACGCUCAACGUACAGGCUGCCGGGAAUACUGCAGAGCUAGGGAGUGGGAGAAGUAGACGGUACUCGGUAGGAAGUGGUAAAAUGCUUUGAUCUAUCGAUGACCACCUGUGGCGAAAGCGACUAUCUGGCUCGGUUCUGACGCUGAGGCGCGAAAGCGUGGGGAGCAAACAGG